GAGCCCGUAGCUCAAUGGCUAGAGCGUUUGAUUUCUGAUCAAACAGUCUCGGGUUCG
rnacentral:tRNA from 1 species